GUUUUCACUUUGGCAGCACAUAUACUAAAAUUGAAACAAUAUAGAGAAGAUUAGCAUGACCACUAUACAAGGAUGACAUGCAAGUUUGUGAAACAUUCCAUAUUUUU